UUGGAGGGGGGACUGGAAUACUUGGUGUAGCAGUGAAAUGCGUAGAUAUCAAGUGGAACACCAGUGGCGAAGGCGAGUCCCUGGACAACUCUGACACUGAGGCACGAAAGCUAGGGGAGCAAACAGGAUUAGAUACCCUGGUAGUCCUAGCCGUAAACGGUGCAUGUUUGCUGUAAAAGGAAUCGACCCCUUUUGUGGCGGAGCCAACGUGUUAAACAUGCCGCCUGGGAAGUACGGUCGCAAGAUUAAAACUCAAAGAAAUUGACGGGGGCCUGCACAAGCGGUGGAGUAUGUGGCUCAAUUCGAUGCAACGCGAAGAACCUUACCUGGCCUUGACAUGCAAGUAGUAGAAGGGUGAAAGCCUGACGAGGUAGCAAUACCAGCUUGCACAGGUGCUGCAUGGCUGCCGUCAGCUCGUGUCGUGAGAUGUUGGGUUAAGUCCCGCAACGAGCGCAACCCCUGUGUCCUGUUGCCACCCCGGCGUGAGUCGGGAGCACUCUGGACAGACUGCCUCGCUUAAACGAGGAGGAAGGUGGGGAUGACGUCAAGUCAGUAUGGCCCUUACGGCCAGGGCUGCACACGUACUACAAUGCCCGGCACAAAGGGAAGCGAGACCGUCAGGUGGAGCAAAUCCCCAAAAACCGGGCCCAGUUCAGAUUGUCGUCUGCAACUCGACGGCAUGAAGCUGGAAUCGCUAGUAAUGGCGCAUCAGCUACGGCGCCGUGAAUACGUUCCCAGGCCUUGUACACACCGCCCGUCACAUCAUGAAAGCCGUUUGUACCCGAAGUCAUCCCUCAAAAGAUGCCGAAGGUAUGGAUGGUGAUGGAUAAGCGACAGCUGAGUCUCUCAAAUC
rnacentral:rRNA from 1 species